rnacentral:lncRNA from 1 species
AUGAAAACCAGCCCAUCGCACCCUGCGCCGCACCCACGCCCCGGCAGCGCGUGGUCCGGGAGGCCCCGCCAGCGAGACAGCCAGCCCGGGCGAGGGAGGAGGGCGCCGCGUGCAGCCCGCGCCCCGCCCGCGGCCCCGGCGGCUCGCACCUUCCUCAGCGCCGACAUCCUCGAGCGCUCUGAGUUCAGCAGGCGAAGGGCGACAUGCUUUGUGGCCCGUCCGUCCAUCCGCACCGCCAGCCGACAAUCCGCGGGGCCGCCGCCGCCGCCACCGCCACGCGUCCCACCGCGCUCCAGCCCGGCACACGCUCGGAGCCCGCCGCCGGCGCCUGCGCACUGGGCGCCCCGGAGGCCUGGCGCGCUGGGGGCCAGCCGGCGCGCGGAGGCACCUGGGAAGGGCCAGGCAAGCGCGGGGAGCCCAGGCAGCGCCGAGCAUGGCGUCCGGGGAUCCUUCCGCCCCACCGCUCCCCCGCCCCUGCCGGCGCGCAGGCCCCGCCCCGGAUGCCACCUGUGGCGCGGGUCCCCUGGCGCUGGAGGCGGCGGUAGCCUGCAGCAAGUGCAGCUCGCCCGCAGCCCCACGGUCCCAGCGCGCCUGCGCGGCCGGUGCCAGGGCGACACGAAGGUAGCGCGCGUCCCCCCAGGGGCGGUGCCCCGCAUCCGGAGGACAGACCCGGCACUUGCUGCCUCGGGCGACGUGGACGGAGGCUCUCGAGCUGUCCAGGGACCGUCUGUCCGCCGCUGGCGCUGCCCUAAACACGAGCCGCUUCCGCCUGGGCCCCUGGGCCCUCGCCGCUGCCCCGCGGGAGCCGGACGCCGCCCCCUCCUCAGGCCCCGCAGCUCCUCCAGCCCGCCCGUCUGCCCGGAACAGUCCGCGCCGCACCCACGCCCCGGGAGUGCAGGGUCCGGGAAGCACCGCCGGCGAGGCACCAGGCCGCCGCGCGCAGCCCACGACCGGUCACCCCUGCAGCUCCGGGUCCCUGCCCGCGCCCCGCCCGCGGCCCGUACCUUCCUCAGCGCAGACAUCCUCGGGCGCUCGGAGUUCAGCAGGCGCAGGGCGACAGGGCACACGGCCCGUCCAUCCGCAGGGUCGGCUGGCCGUCAGUCCGGGGGACCGCGCUCGAGCCCAGUGCACGCUGGGAGCCCCUCGCUGGCGCCUGCGCACUGGGGCCUCACGGGGUAA